rnacentral:rRNA from 1 species
GACUACAGGGGUAUCUAAUCCUGUUUGAUCCCCACGCUUUCGUGCCUCAGCGUCAGUUGUAUCCCAGUAAGCUGCCUUCGCAAUCGGUGUUCUGUGUUAUAUCUAUGCAUUUCACCGCUACACAACACAUUCCGCCUACCUUAUUUACACUCAAGACCCUCAGUUUCAAUGGCAAUUUUACAGUUGAGCUGCAAACUUUCACCACUGACUUAAGGGUCCGCCUACGCACCCUUUAAACCCAAUAAAUCCGGAUAACGCUUGGAUCCUCCGUAUUACCGCGGCUGCUGGCACGGAGUUAGCCGAUCCUUAUUCGAAUGGUACAUACAAUAAGGUACACGUACCUCACUUUAUUCCCAAACAAAAGCAGUUUACAAUCCAUAGGACAUUCUUCCUGCACGCGACUUGGCUGGUUCAGGCUUGCGCCCAUUGACCAAUAUUCCUCACUGCAGCCCCCCGUAGG